UUACGACCAUAUCACGUCGAAAUACCGCUUCCCGUACGAUCACCGAUGUUAAGCAACGCCGUGCCUGGUCGGUAUCUAGAUGGGCCGUCGCUUAAGAAUAUCAGGUGCUAUAA